UGGGGAAUAUUGGACAAUGGGGGGAACCCUGAUCCAGCCAUGCCGCGUGUGUGAAGAAGGCCUUAUGGUUGUAAAGCACUUUAAGCGAGGAGGAGGGUACUGGUAUUAAUACUACCAGGUACUGGACGUUACUCGCAGAAUAAGCACCGGCUAACUCUGUGCCAGCAGCCGCGGUAAUACAGAGGGUGCGAGCGUUAAUCGGAUUUACUGGGCGUAAAGCGUGCGUAGGCGGCUAAUUGAGUAGGAUGUGAAAUCCCCGAGCUUAACUUGGGAAUUGCAUUCGAUACUGGUUAGCUAGAGUGUGGGAGAGGAUGGUUGAAUGCCAGGUGUAGCGGUGAAAUGCGUAGAGAUCUGGAGGAAUACCGAUGGCGAAGGCAGCCAUCUGGCCUAACACUGACGCUGAGGUACGAAAGCAUGGGGAGCAAACAGG
rnacentral:rRNA from 1 species